rnacentral:rRNA from 1 species
GUACGGGGGGGCAAGCGUUGUUCGGAAUUACUGGGCGUAAAGGGCGCGUAGGCGGCCUGCUAAGUCGGAUGUGAAAUCCCUCGGCUCAACCGAGGAACUGCAUCCGAUACUGGCGGGCUUGAAUCCGGGAGAGGGAUGUGGAAUUCCAGGUGUAGCGGUGAAAUGCGUAGAUAUCUGGAGGAACACCGGUGGCGAAGGCGGCAUCCUGGACCGGUAUUGACGCUGAGGCGCGAAAGCUAGGGGAG